rnacentral:rRNA from 1 species
GGUUAAGCGACUAAGCGUACACGGUGGAUGCCCUGGCAGUCAGAGGCGAUGAAGGGCGUGCUAAUCUGCGAUAAGCGCCGGUAAGGUGAUAUGAACCGUUAUAACCGGCGAUACCCGAAUGGGGAAACCCAGUGUGACUCGUCACACUAUCAUUAACUGAAUCCAUAGGUUAAUGAGGCGAACCGGGGGAACUGAAACAUCUAAGUACCCCGAGGAAAAGAAAUCAACCGAGAUUCCCCCAGUAGCGGCGAGCGAACGGGGAGGAGCCCAGAGCCUGAAUCAGCAUGUGUGUUAGUGGAAGCGUCUGGAAAGACGCGCGAUACAGGGUGACAGCCCCGUACACAAAAGCGCAUGUGCUGUGAGCUCGAUGAGUAGGGCGGGACACGUGGUAUCCUGUCUGAAUAUGGGGGGACCAUCCUCCAAGGCUAAAUACUCCUGACUGACCGAUAGUGAACCAGUACCGUGAGGGAAAGGCGAAAAGAACCCCGGCGAGGGGAGUGAAAAAGAACCUGAAACCGUGUACGUACAAGCAGUGGGAGCACCCU